AGAGUUUGAUCCUUUCUCAGGAUGAACGCUGGCGGCGUGCUUAACACAUGCAAGUCGAACGGGAAUUACUUUAUUGAAACUUCGGUCGAUUUAAUUUAAUUCUAGUGGCGGACGGGUGAGUAACGCGUGGGUAACCUGCCUUGUACAGGGGGAUAACAGUCAGAAAUGACUGCUAAUACCGCAUAAGCGCACAGGACCGCAUGGUCCAGUGUGAAAAACUCCGGUGGUAUAAGAUGGACCCGCGUUGGAUUAGCUGGUUGGUGGGGUAACGGCCUACCAAGGCGACGAUCCAUAGCCGGCCUGAGAGGGUGAACGGCUACAUUGGGACUGAGACACGGCCCAGACUCCUACGGGAGGCAGCAGUGGGGAAUAUUGCACAAUGGAGGAAACUCUGAUGCAGCGACGCCGCGUGAGUGAAGAAGUAUUUCGGUAUGUAAAGCUCUAUCAGCAGGGAAGAUAAUGACGGUACCUGACUAAGAAGCACCGGCUAAAUACGUGCCAGCAGCCGCGGUAAUACGUAUGGUGCAAGCGUUAUCCGGAUUUACUGGGUGUAAAGGGUGCGUAGGUGGCAGAUCAAGUCUGGAGUAAAAGGUAUGGGCUCAACCCGUACUGGCUCUGGAAACUGAUCAGCUAGAGAACAGAAGAGGACGGCGGAACUCCAUGUGUAGCGGUAAAAUGCGUAGAUAUAUGGAAGAACACCGGUGGCGAAGGCGGCCGUCUGGUCUGGAUUCUGACACUGAAGCACGGAAAGCGUGGGGAGCAAAUAGGAUUAGAUACCCUAGUAGUCCACGCCGUAAACGAUGAGAACUAGGUGUUGGGGGAAUAACUCAGUGCCGCAGUUAACGCAGUAAGUUCUCCGCCUGGGGAGUAUGCACGCAAGUGUGAAACUCAAAGGAAUUGACGGGGGCCCGCACAAGCGGUGGAGUAUGUGGUUUAAUUCGAAGCAACGCGAAGAACCUUACCAGGCCUUGACAUCCUGCUGACCGGUGAGUAAUGUCACCUUUCCUUUGGGACAGCAGAGACAGGUGGUGCAUGGUUGUCGUCAGCUCGUGUCGUGAGAUGUUGGGUUAAGUCCCGCAACGAGCGCAACCCCUAUGUUCAGUAGCCAGCAUUUAGGAUGGGCACUCUGGACAGACUGCCGGGGAUAACCCGGAGGAAGGCGGGGAUGACGUCAAAUCAUCAUGCCCCUUACGGCCUGGGCUACACACGUGCUACAAUGGCGUAAACAAAGGGAAGCAAGAGGGUGACCUGGAGCGAAUCCCAUAAAUAACGUCCCAGUUCGGACUGUAGUCUGCAACCCGACUACACGAAGCUGGAAUCGCUAGUAAUCGCGAAUCAGAAUGUCGCGGUGAAUACGUUCCCGGGUCUUGCACUCACCGCCCGUCA
rnacentral:rRNA from 1 species